AUUCAUAUAGUUUAAAUAAAACACUACAUUUUCAUUGUAAAAAUAGUAAAUUACCUUACUUAUAAAUG
rnacentral:tRNA from 1 species